rnacentral:rRNA from 1 species
GACGGAGGAUGCAAGCGUUAUCCGGAAUUAUUGGGCGUAAAGCGUCCGCAGGUGGCUGUUCAAGUCUGCUGUCAAAGCGCAGAGCUUAACUCUGUACAGGCGGUGGAAACUGAAGAGCUAGAGUAUGGUAGGGGUAGAGGGAAUUCCCGGUGUAGCGGUGAAAUGCGUAGAUAUCGGGAAGAACACCUGUGGCGAAAGCGGCGCACUGGACCACAACUGACGCUGAGGCGCGAAAGCUAGGGGAGCAAACAGG